rnacentral:rRNA from 1 species
UACGGAGGGGGCAAGCGUUGUUCGGAAUUACUGGGCGUAAAGGGCUCGUAGGUGGCCAACUAAGUCAGACGUGAAAUCCCUCGGCUUAACCGGGGAACUGCGUCUGAUACUGGAUGGCUUGAGUUUGGGAGAGGGAUGCGGAAUUCCAGGUGUAGCGGUGAAAUUCGUAGAUAUUGGGAAGAACACCAGUGGCGAAGGCGGCUCACUGGCUCGUAACUGACGCUCAGGCGCGACAGCGUGGGGAUCAAACAGGAUUAGAUGACC